rnacentral:rRNA from 1 species
CAAGACUCCUACGGGAGGCAGCAGUGGGGGAUAUUGCAAAAUGGGGGGAACCCUGAUGCAGCGACGCCGCGUGAGCGAAGAAGUAUUUCGGUAUGUAAAGCUCUAUCAGCAGGGAAGAAAUUGACGGUACCUGAGUAAGAAGCUCCGGCUAAAUACGUGCCAGCAGCCGCGGUAAUACGUAUGGAGCAAGCGUUAUCCGGAUUUACUGGGUGUAAAGGGAGCGUAGGCGGCCUGCCAAGUCUGAUGUGAAACCCCGGGGCUCAACCCCGGGCAUGCAUUGGAAACUGGCGGGCUGGAGUGCCGGAGAGGUAAGCGGAAUUCCUAGUGUAGCGGUGAAAUGCGUAGAUAUUAGGAGGAACACCAGUGGCGAAGGCGGCUUACUGGACGGCAACUGACGCUGAGGCUCGAAAGCGUGGGGAGCAAACAGGAUUAGAUACCCGGGUAA